AGUCUGCCGGCGACGCUGCCGGCGGGUGGUUGUGUUUGCGCGUGUGUGUGGUGCGGUGCGUGGGAGGCCGGUGCGUGCCAGGCACAAUGAGCGCGGCGCGGUGUGCGUGCGUGCACGCGUGUGUAUGUGGUUGUGCGCGACACCGGACCACGUGGAGUGGCGGAGAGUGACGUCUGCGACCGCCUGGGAUUAACGCCACAAUUAUGCUCCUGUGGAUGGAAUAACGUACGCCAGUUUUCCCUUCGAGGCUGGAACACCGGAUGUACGUACUGCUGGCCCGGAACUGGGCGAUUCCUGGUCGACCCGUCGGGACUGGCCGGGUGUGCCGAGGUCAUCGCACACUCCACGAGGACGCCGAUUCCAAGAAGGAGUCAACACCACCAGGCGCUACGGUAUUUCUCUACUCUGGAAGUCGUUCAAAGGUUAUAUUGGUUCCUCUUGAAAUGUGCAGCAACCAACAGCCUCAAGAAGAUGUGGCAAGAGAGGCAUUGCGCGCUCGCAGGUCAAGCAACCUAUCUUCGAGAAAGCUCACAGCUGCAGUGUCAGGAAACGCAGACGGGAGUAGGACUCUCAGUGGGAUGCCGCCGUGAUGAUGGCGACCGCGACGUCGACCGAAACGUCGGUUGAGACCUCUCGCCGCCCCCGACACGGCUUUAAAUAUCCGGCGAGCUCCAAGGCUCGGCUGAGGGGAGAAGCCGUUCCUCUCGCGGGGUUGGGGAGGGGGGGGGGGGGUCCACGACAGUCCCGUGACGGCGACGGCGGGUCUCCCCCCGGGGGACCAGGGGACGAGUCCACUGCGAGUCCACUGCGAGUCCACUGCGAGUCCACUGCGAGUCCACUGCGAGUCCACUGCGAGUCCACUGCGAGUCCACUGCGAGUCCACUGCGAGUCCACUGCGAGUCCACUGCGAGUCCACUGCGAGUCCCUCGACGGCGGAUGGGCGAGGCGCCAGCAGAAGAAGAAAAUAUGAUCUGCGUCGUUAAAAGGAAACCCAUCGGCCCGGUCACGUGACGAGCAACCAGUGUGCAGUGGCUGGCAGUAACAGCAGCGACAGUGACCGGAGUUUCUUGGAGGCGACAGAGGCGACCAACUCGCCAGCCGUAUCGCCCGAGUUGCAGCCGUCGCGCGAGCACAGGGAGCACGACCAGACGACACUAGCGCCCACCGCGGCGUACUUGCGCAAGGUGCUGUUGUGCAGGAUGUCGCAGCGCAAGGGGUCGGGCGGCAUGCAUGCGCGGUAGUCCACGUGCCUGGAGCCUGCGGCCCAC